rnacentral:rRNA from 1 species
UGCCAGACUCCUACGGGAGGCAGCAGUGGGGAAUAUUGCACAAUGGGGGAAACCCUGAUGCAGCGACGCCGCGUGAAGGAUGAAGUAUUUCGGUAUGUAAACUUCUCUCAGCAGGGAAGAAAAUGACGGUACCUGACUAAGAAGCCCCGGCUAACUACGUGCCAGCAGCCGCGGUAAUACGUAGGGGGCAAGCGUUAUCCGGAUUUACUGGGUGUAAAGGGAGCGUAGACGGCGAUGCAAGUCUGAAGUGAAAGGCGGGGGGCCAACCCCCGGACUGCUUUGGAAACUGUAUAGCUGGAGUGCAGGAGAGGUAAGUGGAAUUCCUAGUGUAGCGGUGAAAUGCGUAGAUAUUAGGAGGAACACCAGUGGCGAAGGCGGCUUACUGGACUGUAACUGACGUUGAGGCUCGAAAGCGUGGGGAGCAAACAGGAUUAGAUACCCCCGUAG